rnacentral:miRNA from 1 species
UUCCUCUCCCCCACUCUUGCCUGCCUCUUUCUGAUAGAGAUAGCAAGGGAGAGGGGGAAGGAAGCGACUAGUCCA